rnacentral:rRNA from 1 species
AUUGAACGCUGGCGGCAUGCCUUACACAUGCAAGUCGAACGGUAACAGGUCUUCGGAUGCUGACGGGUGGCGAACGGGUGAGUAAUACAUCGGAACGUGCCUAGUAGUGGGGGAUAACUACUCGAAAGAGUGGCUAAUACCGCAUGAGAUCUACGGAUGAAAGCAGGGGAUCGCAAGACCUUGUGCUACUAGAGCGGCCGAUGGCAGAUUAGGUAGUUGGUGGGAUAAAAGCUUACCAAGCCGACGAUCUGUAGCUGGUCUGAGAGGACGAUCAGCCACACUGGGACUGAGAAACGGCCCAGACUCCUACGGGAGGCAGCAGUGGGGAAUUUUGGACAAUGGGCGCAAGCCUGAUCCAGCAAUGCCGCGUGCAGGAUGAAGGCCUUCGGGCUGUAAACUGCUUUUGUACGGAACGAAAAGCCCUGGGUUAAUACCCUGGGGUCAUGACGGUACCGUAAGAAUAAGCACCGGCUAACUACGUGCCAGCAGCCGCCGUAA